rfam:Gossypium raimondii chromosome 6, whole genome shotgun sequence.
AUUUCAUAAUGAGGGCACUUCCGUAAUAAUUCUUUUUACCUUUCUUAUGCCUCAUACAAGGACUCGUCAUCUAUUUGUUGGAAAGUAGUGAUCUUGUUCCUCAACUU